CGCACGGGUGAGUAACACGUAUGCAAUCCACCUGUAACAGGGGGAUAACCCGGAGAAAUCCGGACUAAUACCCCAUAAUAUGGGCUCUCCGCAUGGAGGGUCCAUUAAAGAGAGCAAUUUUGGUUACAGACGAGCAUGCGCUCCAUUAGCCAGUUGGCGGGGUAACGGCCCACCAAAGCGACGAUGGAUAGGGGUUCUGAGAGGAAGGUCCCCCACAUUGGAACUGAGACACGGUCCAAACUCCUACGGGAGGCAGCAGUGAGGAAUAUUGGUCAAUGGUCGGCAGACUGAACCAGCCAAGUCGCGUGAGGGAAGACGGCCCUACGGGUUGUAAACCUCUUUUGUCGGAGAGUAAAGUACGCUACGUGUAGCGUAUUGCAAGUAUCCGAAGAAAAAGCAUCGGCUAACUCCGUGCCAGCAGCCGCGGUAAUACGGAGGAUGCGAGCGUUAUCCGGAUUUAUUGGGUUUAAAGGGUGCGUAGGCGGCACGCCAAGUCAGCGGUGAAAUUUCCGGGCUCAACCCGGAGUGUGCCGUUGAAACUGGCGAGCUAGAGUGCACAAGAGGCAGGCGGAAUGCGUGGUGUAGCGGUGAAAUGCAUAGAUAUCACGCAGAACCCCGAUUGCGAAGGCAGCCUGCUAGGGUGAACAGACGCUGAGGCACGAA
rnacentral:rRNA from 1 species